GGUAAGUUCCGACCCGCACGAAAGGCGUAACGAUUUGGGCACUGUCUCAACGAGAGACUCGGUGAAAUCAUAGUACCUGUGAAGAUGCAGGUUACCCGCGACAGGACGGAAAGACCCCGUGGAGCUUUACUGUAGCCUGAUAUUGAAAUUCGGCACAGCUUGUACAGGAUAGGUAGGAGCCUUUGAAACGUGAGCGCUAGCUUACGUGGAGGCGCUGGUGGGAUACUACCCUAGCUGUGUUGGCUUUCUAACCCGCACCACUUAUCGUGGUGGGAGACAGUGUCAGGCGGGCAGUUUGACUGGGGCGGUCGCCUCCUAAAAGGUAACGGAGGCGCUCAAAGGUUCCCUCAGAAUGGUUGGAAAUCAUUCAUAGAGUGUAAAGGCAUAAGGGAGCUUGACUGCGAGACCUACAAGUCGAGCAGGGUCGAAAGACGGACUUAGUGAUCCGGUGGUUCCGCAUGGAAGGGCCAUCGCUCAACGGAUAAAAGCUACCCCGGG
rnacentral:rRNA from 1 species